CGGAGGAAAAGAAACUAACUAGGAUUCCCCCAGUAACUGCGAGUGAAGAGGGAAGAGCUCAUCAUUGGAAUCUGGCAGUGUUACACUGUCCGAGUUGUAGAUGAGGAGUAGUCCGUCUGGACUGCAUGGCGUCCAAGUACAAUAGGCCGUCAGUGGGACAUCAUAGAGGGUGACAAUCCCGUCCUUGACGCCAAUGUGCAAGUCUAUUACGAUGGCUAUCUCAGAGAGUCGAGCAGUUUGGGAUUUGCUGCUUAAACAUGGGAGGUAGAUUCCUUCUAAAGCUAAAUACAGGCGAGAGACCGAUAGAGAACAAGUACCGCAAGGGAAAGAUGAAAUAGCACUCUGUGAAGGGAGUCAAAAGGCGUGAAAUUGUUGCGAGAGAAGCGAUUCAAGUCAGCGUAGCUAGGCCCAUCAAGCGUCUUCGCUUUGGACUAGCUUUGCCAGCGGUCUUGUCCCUUAAAGAGACUUGACUUGUAAUAUGUCCAGCCUGGCGUGCACAGGCAGCCCCUUCUGGGGGCCAGUGGCAU
rnacentral:rRNA from 1 species